AAACACUUAGUAGAAAACUGUGAGAGACAGUUUAUUUUAGCAGAAAACUGUGAGAGACAGUUGGUGGCUGAGCCCAGGUCAGGAGCCAAGGUUUGCCCAAGCUGGCCCAAAAGCCAGCACAGGAGAGUGAAGGCCUCUGCAAAGGGGUGGAGAGCAGGGAAGUCCAGCAGAGGAGAGCACGUGGAGGCACAGCCCACCCAGAUCCCAAGCCUUGUGCAGGGCUCCCCUGGCUGGAGUAGCCCCUGUCCCUAGGGUCAGUCCCAUCUGUGAGAUGUGUCCUGGGCCCUCCCUUUGCUGGCGGGGCACAGCAGGGCUCCCUGUCAGCAUUCCUCUUUAAGGCCCUGGUUCCAGGGAUGGCUUGUGAGGCCAGGCUCAGCCAGUGUUUGGGGUUUGGCCUUGUCUCCUCCUCUGGCUGGGGCUCAUACCCCAGCCACAGUUGCAUAGACUUAGGAGUCUCUGGGCCCCUUUCUCUGCAAGGACUAGAAAGUGCUGACUAGCCAAGACCUUCUGAAUCCCUGCCCGGGUAGCCCAGGGAUCCUGGAG
rnacentral:lncRNA from 1 species